UUCAUUGAGAGCCACUGUAUUUGCACAGGUAUUAGCAGUAGCAGCAGCUGCUUUAUGGAGCUUGCAGAGAAUUUAAGAAAAGUAUCACAUCACUUUGGAAACACAACUACUUUUAAAAGAUUUUGGAUGGAACUCCUUCAAACCAUUAUGACUCAAACUCUAUGUAAUGAUGAUGAUGAUGAUGAUGAUGAUGAUGAUGAUGAUGAUGAUGAUGAGAAGAGGCAGUUACUACUGGUGCAGAUUCCAAAAAUAAGGAGGAAUAGCUUAGCAUAUUUCUUCAGAAGUCACUUCCUUGUGGAUAUCACUGCCUGAAAAUAACUGGAAAUCUACACUAUAAAUGAGAAACUCUUUACAGGAAUCCCUUAAGGUGGGAACAGCUCCUUUGAAAUGAAUGAAAAGUCUGUGUAGCUGACUGGAGACUUGGUUAAAUAAAGGUUUUUCAUCUUUGUGGUG